rnacentral:rRNA from 1 species
AUUGAACGCUGGCGGCAGGCCUAACACAUGCAAGUCGAACGAGUGGCGGACGGGUGAGUAAUGUCUGGGAAACUGCCUGAUGGAGGGGGAUAACUACUGGAAACGGUAGCUAAUACCGCAUACCAUCGGAUGUGCCCAGAUGGGAUUAGCUAGUAGGUGGGGUAAAGGCUCACCUAGGCGACGAUCCCUAGCUGGUCUGAGAGGAUGACCAGCGAAACUGGAACGGAGACAGGGUCCAGACUUCUACGGGAGGCAGCAGGGGGGAAGAUGGCAAAAUGGGCGCAAGCCUGAUGCAGCCAUGCAGCGGGUAUGAAGAAGGCCUUCGGGUUGUAAAGUACGUUCAGCGGGGAGGCGUUACCCGAAGAAGAAGCACCGGAUAACUCCGUGCCAGCAGCCGCGGUAAUAC